rnacentral:misc_RNA from 1 species
AAUAUCCUUCACCCUGGAUGAAAGUCCGGGUGGACCAGCCCAUGUGGCUCUAAACACGUUAUGCCGUAUGGAUCUUUCGUUCGGGUACUCGUCAUCUCAAACCAUUGUGAACCUCCCGUUGCUUCGGCGGCAUGCUUCGUGCUGUCAGCCCGUCCGAGGCUCACCAAAACCAAUUCUGUAAACUUCUGUCAGUAUACGAAAAAAGUAAAUCGUUAAAACUUUCAACAACGGAUCUCUUGGUUCU